rnacentral:rRNA from 1 species
GACGGGGGGGCAAGUGUUCUUCGGAAUGACUGGGCGUAAAGGGCACGUAGGCGGUGAAUCGGUUGAAAGUGAAAGUCGCCAAAAAGUGGCGGAAUGCUCUCGAAACCAAUUCACUUGAGUGAGACAGAGGAGAGUGGAAUUUCGUGUGUAGGGGUGAAAUUCGUAGAUAUUGGGAAGAAGCACCGGUGGCGAAGGCGGCGACCUGGUCCGAUACUGACGCUGAGGUGCGAAAGCUGGGGGAGCGAACGGG